rnacentral:tRNA from 1 species
GGGGAUUUAGCUCAGUGGUAGAGCGCUUGCCUGGUAAGCGCAAGGCCCUGGGUUCGGUCCCCAGCUCCG